GACGAACGCUGGCGGCGUGCCUAAUACAUGCAAGUCGAACGAAGCUGUUUUAACUGGUGCUUGCACCGACUUAAACAACUGAGUGGCGAACGGGUGAGUAACACGUGGGUAACCUGCCCCAAAGCGGGGGAUAACAUUUGGAAACAGAUGCUAAUACCGCAUAAUCACAGAAACCACAUGGUUUCUGUGUCAAAGAUGGUUUCGGCUAUCACUUUGGGAUGGAUCCGCGGCGUAUUAGCUAGUUGGUAAGGUAAUGGCUUACCAAGGCAAUGAUACGUAGCCGAACUGAGAGGUUUAUCGGCCACAUUGGGACUGAGACACGGCCCAAACUCCUACGGGAGGCAGCAGUAGGGAAUCUUCCACAAUGGACGAAAGUCUGAUGGAGCAACGCCGCGUGAGUGAAGAAGGUUUUCGGAUCGUAAAACUCUGUUGUCAGAGAAGAACGUGUGCGAGAGUAACUGUUCGUGCAGUGACGGUAUCUGGCCAGAAAGCCACGGCUAACUACGUGCCAGCCGCCGCAGUAA
rnacentral:rRNA from 1 species